rnacentral:rRNA from 1 species
UACGUAGGGUGCGAGCGUUGUCCGGAAUUAUUGGGCGUAAAGAGCUCGUAGGCGGUGUGUCGCGUCGGCCGUGAAAACCUGCAGCUUAACUGUGGGCUUGCGGUCGAUACGGGCAUCACUGGAGUUCGGCAGGGGAGACUGGAAUUCCUGGUGUAGCGGUGAAAUGCGCAGAUAUCAGGAGGAACACCGGUGGCGAAGGCGGGUCUCUGGGCAACAACUGACGCUGAGGAGCGAAAGCGUGGGGAGCGAACGGG